ACUUAAGUGUCUCAGAUGGUAAAGAACCUGCCUGCAAUGCAGGAGACCCAGGUUCGAUCCCUGGGUUGGGAA
rnacentral:tRNA from 1 species